rnacentral:lncRNA from 1 species
GCCACGCCCCCUUUCUGGAAAGGAUCCGCGGCGGCUGCAGCUGCCAAGGCAGCGCAGCCGGACCUCCCUGCCCGGGCGCCCCCCGGGUCCUAGCACCCAGCGCUCGCCUAGCGCUUUGUGUAAAAGAUCCAGACGGUUGCAUCAGGACCGAGGACCGAGAUCUCUGGAAAAGCCAGGGAGUGCAAUGGCCAUCCCGUGUUUCAUCAUUCAGGCGGGGCCACAGGAAAUCUGGCCUGGCAGCAGUGCUCAGAGGCUAACAGUGGUUGCUGAGGGUGGGUGGAGGUUGAGACGGACUCGACCUUUAUUGCUCUAAAGGUUUAUCAGUCUGGGACAGGAGGACCCUGAUGGAAGAGGGAGCCAAACUUACAUCAGAUGCCCAGGGCCCCGGGGGCGGGCAAGGAACCUAACCAGAUAGGCGGGCCUUGCCUCGGGUGGGAGACCCACUUAUGGAGACAAAUUUAUGGAUUAAAAAAAGAAAUCAGGGGAUCCAGGAGACAUCUUAAAGACAGCUGCAGAAUGGAAUAGUUUGUGAGCCACUGGGACUUUCAAGGCCUUCUCUUCCCAUUCUUCAAGCUCUGUCGCUUGUUGGAGCCUUAAAGACACCAGAUUGCUUAACAAUGGGGAUAUAAAAAUUAAAAAUAAUAAAAGACACUGGAUCAAGGCGGCUAGUUGUUCUUGGAGGGCUGGAGUAGAUGACAUACUCUUGAAAUCACUCUUACAGAGGUGACCUGCAUGGGUGUGUCUUCCUGCUGGCCAGAGAGAAGAUCUGAAUUAAUCCAUCAGGAACAUUCACAUUUCCUCCAGGCUGAUUUGGGCGGGACACCUAAACACCCUAAGGAAACAAGAGUUACGAUGUUUUUUCUUCUUCUUCUUCUUUUUUUUUUUUUUUUUGAGAUGGGGUCUCACUCUUUCACCCAGGCUGGAGUGCAGUGGUGCGAUCUUGGCUCACUGCAAGCUCCGCCUCCCGGGUUCACAC